rnacentral:misc_RNA from 1 species
GUGAAUCAUCAAAUUUUUGAACGCAAAUUGCAAUCUCUUCGGAGAGUAAGCCUGUUUGAGGGUCAGACUAAAAAAAAUCGACAUAGUUGCUGUUUCGCGGUGACAUUCGUUGGAAAUUGGGUCAUCUUAAACCUUUGGGUUUAAGCGGCUUAAAAUCUUCUUUACGAUUCCACGAACGUUUCUAAGAUUUUACUUCUUACACGUUUAAGGUAUCGAUCUUUAUUAGACGUGGCCGUUGUAUCGGAUCACGCUCAUAAAUAUUUAGGUAAUUGAUCUCAUAC